CAGUGGCGAACGGGUGAGUAAUGCAUCGGAACGUGUCCCGCAGUGGGGGAUAACGCCGCGAAAGCGGCGCUAAUACCGCAUACGCUCUGCGGAGGAAAGCGGGGGCCCGGAAACGGCCUCGUGCUAUGGGGGCGGCCGAUGUCCGAUUAGGUAGUUGGUGGGGUAAUGGCCUACCAAGCCGACGAUCGGUAGCUGGUCUGAGAGGAUGAUCAGCCACACUGGGACUGAGACACGGCCCAGACUCCUACGGGAGGCAGCAGUGGGGAAUUUUGGACAAUGGGCGCAAGCCUGAUCCAGCCAUGCCGCGUGCGGGAAGAAGGCCUUCGGGUUGUAAACCGCUUUUAGCCGGGACGAAAGCGCCACGGAUAACACCCGUGGCGGUUGACGGUACCGGCGGAAUAAGCACCGGCUAACUACGUGCCAGCAGCCGCGGUAAUACGUAGGGUGCGAGCGUUAAUCGGAAUUACUGGGCGUAAAGCGUGCGCAGGCGGUUCGUUGUGUCGGCGGUGAAAGCCCCGGGCUCAACCUGGGAAUGGCCGUUGAAACUGGCGAACUGGAGUGUGGCAGAGGGGGGGUGGAAUUCCGCGUGUAGCAGUGAAAUGCGUAGAGAUGCGGAGGAACACCGAUGGCGAAGGCAGCCCCCUGGGCUGACACUGACGCUCAGGCACGAAAGCGUGGGGAGCAAACAGGAUUAGAUACCCCGGUAGUCCACGCCCUAAACGAUGUCGACUGGGUGUUGGGGAAGCGAUUUCCCAGUACCGUAGCUAACGCGUGAAGUCGACCGCCUGGGGAGUACGGCCGCAAGGUUAAAACUCAAAGGAAUUGACGGGGACCGCACAGCGGUGAUGAAUGUGGAUUAAUUCGAUGCAACGCGUACAACCUUACCUACCCUUACAUGUGCCGAACCCGCCAAAAGG
rnacentral:rRNA from 1 species